rnacentral:rRNA from 1 species
GAUUAACGCUGGCGGCGUGCAUAACACAUGCAAGUCGAACGAUGAAACUUAGUAGACUUCUUCGGAAAGACACUAAGCGGAUUAGUGGCGAACGGGUGAGUAACGCGUGAGUAACCUGCCUUACACAAGGGGAUAGCCUUUGGAAACGAAGAAUAAUACCCUAUAAAACCAUAAAAGCACAUGCUAGAAUGGUCAAAGUGAUAGCGGUGUAAGAUGGACUUGCGUCUGAUUAGCUAGUUGGUGAGAUAAAAGCUUACCAAGGCAACGAUCAGUAGCCGGCUUGAGAGAGUGUACGGCCACAUUGGGACUGAGACACGGCCCAGACUCCUACGGGAGGCAGCAGUGGGGAAUUUUGCACAAUGGGGGAAACCCUGAUGCAGCGACGCCGCGUGAUUUAGAAGGCCUUCGGGUUGUAAAAAUCUUUUGUAUAGGAAGAAAAUGACAGUACUAUACGAAUAAGGUCCGGCUAAUUACGUG